CUUAGCUAGUUGGGAGGUAACGCUCCCCAAAGCAACGAUGGUUAGCGACCUGGAAGGGGGAUCGCCCAACUUGGACUUGAAACCCGCCCCAACUCCUUCGGGAGGCAGCAGUAAGGAAUUUUCCGCAAUGGACGAAAGUCUGACGGAGCAACCCCGCUUGAAUGAUGAAGGUUUUCGGAUCGUAAAGCUCUGUUGUUAGGGAAGAACAAGUGCCGUUCAAAUAGGGCGGCACCUUGACGGUACCUAACCAGAAAGCCACGGCUAACUACGUGCCAGCAGCCGCGGUAAUACGUAGGUGGCAAGCGUUGUCCGGAAUUAUUGGGCGUAAAGGGCUCGCAGGCGGUUUCUUAAGUCUGAUGUGAAAGCCCCCGGCUCAACCGGGGAGGGUCAUUGGAAACUGGGGAACUUGAGUGCAGAAGAGGAGAGUGGAAUUCCACGUGUAGCGGUGAAAUGCGUAGAGAUGUGGAGGAACACCAGUGGCGAAGGCGACUCUCUGGUCUGUAACUGACGCUGAGGAGCGAAAGCGUGGGGAGCGAACAGGAUUAGAUACCCUGGUAGUCCACGCCGUAAACGAUGAGUGCUAAGUGUUAGGGGGUUUCCGCCCCUUAGUGCUGCAGCUAACGCAUUAAGCACUCCGCCUGGGGAGUACGGUCGCAAGACUGAAACUCAAAGGAAUUGACGGGGGCCCGCACAAGCGGUGGAGCAUGUGGUUUAAUUCGAAGCAACGCGAAGAACCUUACCAGGUCUUGACAUCCUCUGACAAUCCUAGAGAUAGGACGUCCCCUUCGGGGGCAGAGUGACAGGUGGUGCAUGGUUGUCGUCAGCUCGUGUCGUGAGAUGUUGGGUUAAGUCCCGCAACGAGCGCAACCCUUGAUCUUAGUUGCCAGCAUUCAGUUGGGCACUCUAAGGUGACUGCCGGUGACAAAUUUGAGGAAGGCUGGGAUGACGUCAAAUCAUCAUGCCCCUUAUGACCUGGGCUACACACGUGCUACAAUGGACAGAACAAAGGGCAGCGAAACCGCGAGGUUAAGCCAAUCCCACAAAUCUGUUCUCAGUUCGGAUCGCAGUCUGCAACUCGACUGCGUGAAGCGGGAAUCGCUGGUAAUCGCGGAUCAGCAUGCCGCGGUGAAUACGUUCCCGGGCCUAGUACACACCGCCCGUCACACCACGAGAGUUUGUAACACCCGAAGUCGGUGAGGUAACCUUUAGGAGCCUAU
rnacentral:rRNA from 1 species